UUACCUUGGGGAAGCCUGUGUCAAGGUUCAUGUAGACUGGACACGGCUCUCCUUCGCGAGAUAUUCUUGGAGUCAUUGCAUUUGUGCUGUUGAUCCUGGGAGCUGGGCUAUACCUCUGGAAGAAAUGUGGGAAGAAGAAGAAGAAGAAAGAUGAAGAGGAAGAAGAGGAAGAGGAGCAGAAGGAGGAGGAGGAGCGGGAGGAGACAGGAAUAGGCAGGUUGCAUUUCUCCAUCGAGGCCCAGAUAUCUCCCCUCCCCCACUAGAAUCUGGGUUCUCUUUCUCCUGAAAGAAUGUCAUUGUUUAGCUAUAUGAAUAACCCUAGAUAUAGCAUCGAGUUAACAUGUCCAAGAUAUUUGUUACUGGAAAAAACUGAACAGCAAUGCAUGGUAUGAUUUAAUUUUUGUAAAAGUGUAUAGAUAGGUAGAUAGAAAGAUAAGCACAGAAUAAAAUCUAUACUACAUGACAGAUUAC
rnacentral:lncRNA from 10 species